GUGGGGAAUCUUGCGCAAUGGGCGAAAGCCUGACGCAGCCAUGCCGCGUGAAUGAUGAAGGUCUUAGGAUUGUAAAAUUCUUUCACCGGGGACGAUAAUGACGGUACCCGGAGAAGAAGCCCCGGCUAACUUCGUGCCAGCAGCCGCGGUAAUACGAAGGGGGCUAGCGUUGCUCGGAAUUACUGGGCGUAAAGGGCGCGUAGGCGGACAGUUUAGUCAGAGGUGAAAGCCCAGGGCUCAACCUUGGAAUUGCCUUUGAGACUGGCUGUCUUGAGUACGGGAGAGAUGAGUGGAACUCCGAGUGUAGAGGUGAAAUUCGUAGAUAUUCGGAAGAACACCAGUGGCGAAGGCGACUCACUGGCCCGUUACUGACGCUGAGGCGCGAAAGCGUGGGGAGCAAACAGGAUUAGAUACCCGAGUAGUCC
rnacentral:rRNA from 1 species